rnacentral:rRNA from 1 species
CACGUAGUUAGCCGGGGCUUCUUCUGCAGGUACCGUCAUUAUCUUCCCUGCUGAAAGCGGUUUACAACCCGAAAGCCUUCACCCCGCACGCGGCGUUGCUGCGUCAGGGUUUCCCCCAUUGCGCAAUAUUCCCCACUGCUGCCUCCCGUAGGAGUCUGGGCCGUAUCUCAGUCCCAAUGUGGCCGAUCGACCUCUCAGUCCGGCUACCCAUCGCAGGCACGGUGAGCCACUACCUCACCGUCUACCUAAUGGGCCGCGACCCCAUCUCAUGCCGCGAAGCUUUCCUUGCAUCUCCAUGCGAAGUUGCAAGAGUAUCCGGUAUUAGGCUGCCGUUUCCAGCAGUUACUCCCGAUGCAGUGAGGCAGGUUGUCACGUGUUACUCUACCCGUUCGCCACGUCUAUCGACCACCGAGGUGGGUUAAUCGUUCGAUUGCAUGUGUUAGCACGCCGCAGCGUU